GUGAAAAACACCUGACAGAUUCAAAGGUCAGAGUUCAGAGUCCAUGUGGACGUGGACGGAGCAGCAGAGGAACCAGGUGAAGACUCGGCUUCACAGAUCCCACCUGGACAGAAAUGUUGGCGUCAGGUUAGAGGAGACUCAGCUUCAGAUUCAAAGAUGGUCGGUGUUUGUGGUUCAUGUCUCUGAAUGACUGAAGUCCAGAAGAUGGAUGAUUGUGUGGAGGAAGAGGAGGAGAGACCAGAGUCUCCAGGAUCCAUCAGUCCGUCUAUGAGGAGUGACCGGUCCAAAGAAUUUCCUCCAGACUUCAGUAAAGAACCUGGACCCUCAGACACAGAAGGGAGGAAGAGGAGAGGAGUUGGUGCGGAGGAGCAGCCGUCCAGUCAGAGCAGAA